GAUGAACGCUGGCGGCGUGCCUAAUACAUGCAAGUCGAGCGAACGGACGCGAUGCUUGCUUCUCUGAUGGUAGCGGCGGACAAGUGAGUAACACGUCGAUAACCUACCUAUAAGACUUGGUGAACUUCGGGAAACCGGAGCUGCUACCGGGUAAUAUUUUGAACCGCAUGGUUCAAGAGUGUAAGACGGUCUUGCUGUCACUGAUAGAUGGAUCCGCGCUGCAUUAGCUAGUUGGUAAGGUAACGGCUUACCAAGGCAACGAUGCAUAGCCGACCUGAGAGGGUGAUCGGCCACACUGGAAGUGAGAAACGGUCCAGACUCCUACGGGAGGCAGCAGCAGGGAGUAUUCCGGCAUGGGCGAAAGCCUGACGGAGCAACGCCGCGUGAGUGAUGAAGGUCUUCGGAUGGUAGAAAUCUGUUAUUAGGGAAGAAGAUAGGUGGAAGUAACUGUGCACAUCUUGACGGUACCUAAACAGAAAGCCACGGCUAACUACGUG
rnacentral:rRNA from 1 species